AAUACAAUUUUGCUCAUUGAUGUAUCGGUCCGGUGGUAUUUCAUCGAAUGGUAUUUUUAUACCAAAAUUCGGUUCAUUAUUCUAACUAUCGGGUAUCGGUUCUGACAAGUUUCCUCAUUCAUUGCCCAUUGGAAUCGUCAUAGGUUGUCUUGCUUGUACUUACGUAAAAUCGUAUAGCUAAAACAAAAAAUGAGCAAUGAAAGAGGCCAACAAUGUAAUGCCAUUAACAAAACUAGGUUGAUAAGCGACUGUGUUGAUGAUUAGAGCACAAAGGCGAGGAAGCCAAGAAGAGUGCUACUCCAGGGGCUGCAUGGUUACCCAGAAAAGUGUCACUUUGAAUGUGGAUUCCAAGGAUAGGCUGAAAAUCGGGAGACCAAGGUCAGGAACCGUUGAGUGUACAAUGUAUAGUCAUCGAUAGCAGCCCGUGGUUUGCGGAUACACAUUUUUGGGCAUUGACCGGCACUUUAUCGAAAACAAGGAACUAGACAAUUCAAGCACAUAAGCGGUGCCCAAAAGCCAACCAUCACUCAGUUUACGGAUACCAAACGGGCGUAUUGCAGAAUGUCCGGCCUAUGGACAUCCGUGUUGAAUAUGUGGAUGAAGAUAUAGUGACGACCGUGUCGCUGAAAUAUUUGAACUCAUGUAAUGUUAUUGCCUUCCUAUAAUGUAUCAUUUAGCUACUAUAUUUAUUUUAAGGUAUACUGAGCAGAACGUUGCUUAAUAAACAAAUAAACAUA